rnacentral:rRNA from 1 species
AACGAACGCUGGCGGCAUGCCUAACACAUGCAAGUCGAACGGGUGUAGCAAUACAUCAGUGGCGCACGGGAUAGUAACGCGUGGGAAUCUGCCUCGUAGUUCGGAAUAACACCGGGAAACUGGUGCUAAUACCGAAUACGCCCUUCGGGGGAAAGUUUUUCGCUAUGAGAGGAGCCCGCGUUGGAUUAGCUAGUUGGUGAGGUAACGGCUCACCAAGGCGACGAUCCAUAGCUGGUCUGAGAGGACGAUCAGCAUCACUGGGACUGAGACACGGCCCAGACUCCUACGGGAGGCAGCAGUAGGGAAUCUUGCGCAAUGGGCGAAAGCCUGACGCAGCCAUGCCGCGUGAAUGAUGAAGGUCUUAGGAUUGUAAAAUUCUUUCACCGGGGAAGAUAAUGACGGUACCCGGAGAAGAAGCCCCGGCUAACUUCGUGCCAGCCGCCGCCGUAACAC